rnacentral:rRNA from 1 species
UACAGAGGUCUCAAGCGUUGUUCGGAUUCACUGGGCGUAAAGGGUGCGUAGGCGGCGCGGUAAGUCGGGUGUGAAAUCUCGGGGCUUAACUCCGAAACUGCAUUCGAUACUGCCGUGCUUGAGGACUGGAGAGGAGACUGGAAUUUACGGUGUAGCGGUGAAAUGCGUAGAUAUCGUAAGGAAGACCAGUGGCGAAGGCGGGUCUCUGGACAGUUCCUGACGCUGAGGCACGAAGGCCAGGGGGAGCAAACGGG